UACAGGGGGGGCAAGCGUUGUUCGGAAUUACUGGGCGUAAAGGGCUCGUAGGUGGCCAACUAAGUCAGACGUGAAAUCCCUCAGCUUAACUGGGGAACUGCGUCUGAUACUGGAUGGCUUGAGUUUGGGAGAGGGAUGCGGAAUUCCAGGUGUAGCGGUGAAAUGCGUAGAUAUCAGGAGGAACACCGGUGGCGAAGGCGGAUCUCUGGGCCUGUUCUGACGCUGAGGCGCGAAAGCUAGGGGAGCGAACAGG
rnacentral:rRNA from 1 species